AUCUAGUUGACGAAUCAAAAAUAGGACGAAACGCACGUCAAACUAGAU
rnacentral:hammerhead_ribozyme from 1 species